rnacentral:rRNA from 1 species
UAGGGAAUCUUCCGCAAUGGACGCAAGUCUGACGGAGCAACGCCGCGUGAGUGAAGAAGGAUUUCGGUUCGUAAAACUCUGUUGUUAGAGAAGAACAGCGCAUAGAGUAACUGUUAUGCGUGUGACGGUAUCUAACCAGAAAGCCACGGCUAACUACGUGCCAGCAGCCGCGGUAAUACGUAGGUGGCAAGCGUUGUCCGGUUUUAUUGGGCGUAAAGCGAGCGCAGGCGGUCAAUUAAGUCUGAUGUGAAAGCCCCCGGCUCAACCGGGGAGGGUCAUUGGAAACUGGUUGACUUGAGUGCAGAAGAGGAGAGUGGAAUUCCAUGUGUAGCGGUGAAAUGCGUAGAUAUAUGGAGGAACACCAGUGGCGAAGGCGACUCUCUGGUCUGUAACUGAAGCUGAGGCUCGAAAGCGUGGGUAGCAAACAGG